UACCGAGGGUGGGGAGGAGAAUAAUGCUGCCUAUUAUCCACCAUAGGCCACCACCAUUUUCCACGAAGAACAACUUGCCGACCGAUGUCAUCUAGUUGCCAAUACAACUAUUCGGCUUAAUUUGGACCUAGAAAGGAUAGCUGAAAAUUUGAAGAUUCUCUUGAUUUAUUCUGAAACUGUGAGUUGGCAGCAGGGCCAGCACCAUCCCUCUACCUCGUAUGGUUUGGGAUUACCUGUUGCAAACCAGGAAGCAAGGAUAUUCACAACAGAUUGAUAGAAAAUGAAUUUAUAAAUUAAACUGUAGAAUUUAUUAUUAAAUUUUAGUUUUUUU